GCUUGUCUCAAAGAUUAAGCCAUGCAUGUCUAAGUAUAAGCCUUUAUAUGGUGAGACUGCGAAUGGCUCAUUAAAUCAGUUAUAGUUUAUUUGAUGGUACCUACUACUCGGAUAACCGUAGUAAUUCUAGAGCUAAUACGUGCGCACAACCCGACUUCUGGAAGGGUCGUAUUUAUUAGAUAAAAGGCCGACCGGGCUCUGCCCGACUCGCGGUGAAUCAUGAUAACUUCACGAAUCGCACGGCCUCGUGCCGGCGAUGUUUCAUUCAAAUUUCUGCCCUAUCAACUUUUGAUGGUAGGAUAGAGGCCUACCAUGGUGGUAACGGGUGACGGAGGAUUAGGGUUCGAUUCCGGAGAGGGAGCCUGAGAAACGGCUACCACAUCCAAGGAAGGCAGCAGG
rnacentral:rRNA from 1 species